rnacentral:Y_RNA from 1 species
GGUUGGUCCGAGGGUUGUGGGUUACUGCUGAACUGUUUGGCAAUGUCUCUCCCCACAACCACGCUUGACUAACUGUGAUUUU